CCUACGGGUGGCAGCAGUGAGGAAUAUUGGUCAAUGGACGCGAGUCUGAACCAGCCAUGCAGCGUGCAGGAUGACUGCCCUAUGGGUUGUAAACUGCUUUUGUACAAGGGUAAACGCAGAUACGCGUAUCUUUCUGAAAGUAUCGUACGAAUAAGGAUCGGCUAACUCCGUGCCAGCAGCCGCGGUAAUACGGAGGAUUCAAGCGUUAUCCGGAUUUAUUGGGUUUAAAGGGUGCGUAGGCGGUUGGAUAAGUUAGUGGUGAAAUUCCGAGGCUCAACUGUGGAAUUGCAACUGAUACUGGUCGUCUUGAGAAUAGUUGCGGUAGGCGGAAUGUAUGGUGUAGCGGUGAAAUGCUUAGAGAUCAUACAGAACACCGAUUGCGAAGGCAGCUUACCAAGCUACUUCUGACAUUGAGGCACGAAAGUGUGGGGAGCAAACAGGAUUAGAUACCCGAGUAGUC
rnacentral:rRNA from 1 species